rnacentral:rRNA from 1 species
UACGUAGGGUGCGAGCGUUAAUCGGAAUUACUGGGCGUAAAGCGUGCGCAGGCGGUUCGCUAAGACCGAUGUGAAAUCCCCGGGCUUAACCUGGGAACUGCAUUGGUGACUGGCGGGCUAGAGUAUGGCAGAGGGGGGUAGAAUUCCACGUGUAGCAGUGAAAUGCGUAGAGAUGUGGAGGAAUACCGAUGGCGAAGGCAGCCCCCUGGGCCAAUACUGACGCUCAUGCACGAAAGCGCGGGGAGCAAACAGG